rnacentral:misc_RNA from 1 species
AGUCGUAACAAGGUCUCCGUUGGUGAACCAGCGGAGGGAUCAUUAACACACAAAAUUUCAUUGAUUUUUUUGAAUUGAUUUAACGUGUUUUAUCAAUUCAAAAAUUCAUAAAAAGGGUCUCCUUUAUUUUUUUAAAACUAAGGUUUUAAAAAAAUUAAAAAACACGCAGCAGAUCUUGAAUUUAAAAAAGAAAAGAUGACGAGAUUGCGGUCUCUAAUUCUUUUUAAAAAAAUAAUUUAAAAAAAGCAAAUGCUUUUAACGAUGGAUACCUUGGGUUUCC